CGAAGGGUGCAAGCGUUACUCGGAAUUACUGGGCGUAAAGCGUGCGUAGGUGGUUGUUUAAGUCUGUUGUGAAAGCCCUGGGCUCAACCUGGGAAUUGCAGUGGAUACUGGGCGACUAGAGUGUGGUAGAGGGUAGUGGAAUUCCCGGUGUAGCAGUGAAAUGCGUAGAGAUCGGGAGGAACAUCCAUGGCGAAGGCAGCUACCUGGACCAACACUGACACUGAGGCACGAAAGCGUGGGGAGCAAACAGGAUUAGAUACCCUGGUAGUCCACGCCCUAAACGAUGCGAACUGGAUGUUGGGUGCAAUUUGGCACGCAGUAUCGAAGCUAACGCGUUAGGUUCGCCGCCUGGGGAGUACGGUCGCAAGACUG
rnacentral:rRNA from 1 species